UGAAGAUUGAGCUUCACAGACUAAAAUUCCUCCUGUGUCCAACAUCUGAUAUUAGAAGAGGAGGAUUUGCAAACAGAAAUCUCAAACCGAACUUCACGUCAAGAUCUGACAGGGUCAUUCAAUUCAUCAAGAACUGAAUAUCAUCAGCCUUUGUAUCUGGGAGAAAUGUUUGUCUGUUCUGUCCACUUCAUAAGAUUUCAAACAUCAAUAUGACUGGAAAAACACUGAGACACACACACACCUGAGUGAGAGUGUUUCCAGUGCACUGACUGUGGAAAGAGCUUUAACCAGUUACACAGACUGAAAAAACAUCACCACAUUCACAACGGGGGGAAACUGUACACGUGUUCUCUGUGUGGGCGAAGCUUCAACUGAUCAUCGGCCCUGGAGAGACACAAGGACACCCAUACCAUGGAGAAACCGUGGAAAUGUGGGGACUGUGGGAAGGGAUUCAAAUCCCCAUCUGCACUGGACACUCAUCGACGCAUUCACACUGGGGAGAGGCCGUUCAUCUGCUCUGUGUGUGGGAAGGGAUUCACUAAGUCAUCGAACCUGCUGACACACAAGCGAGUUCACACCGGGGAGAGGCCGUUCAUCUGCUCCGUGUGUGGAAAGAGAUUCACUGAGUCAUCCAGCCUGCGGAGACAUCAGAAACUUUUCAACUGAUUACAGAUUUUGGUUUUUGCUUUUAUCGCUGCUGUUAAUCUGAUCCAGGACUGAACCAUGUUCAUUCUGAUUGUUGGUGAAGUGGGAGAGUCAGAGGGUUUCUUUCUGCUGGACUGGCUGGUCUCACGACUUUGUUUCCAGUGGCUGAUGCUCUUUGAGACUUGUUGUGAAUAUCUAGUUGCAUAUUUCAUAUGAAUUACAGAAUGAAAGAGUGUUUGGAAUGGAAAAGAUAUUUAGUUUGAAACUGUUUGGAACUUUCCAGAACAUGCCAGGUUGCCAUGGAGAUGGGCUGUGCUGGUUGGAAGGUUCUUUUGUUUAAUUUUUCUGGGGGUUUCUCACAGAAGGAAACUACAAAAGUACCAGUGGAAGCUGCCUGUGGUAGAUUGGGAAGCUACAUUAAAAGUUAUGAUGCUAGACGGACAAUUUAAGGAAUGUGGAGGCAGUGGCUUCGAUACAGAGUAAUGCUCUGGGGUCGUGGGAUCGAUUCUAACCAUGGCAAAUGGUACAAUUUGAAUUCAAUCAGUAAAAAUCUGGAAUUAAUUGAAGAAAUGUUCCUCAUUUCCCCAAAACAAAUUGAACCAAUCAGCUUGGAGCCUCUUCUAACUGUGAACGAUAACUUGUAUCUAAACAGGGUGUCCUGGAACACCUGGUGCUCUGACCCCUUCCUGACCUUAACACUUUUUUUCCCUUAAAAGCUACAUUACAGUAUCUGGAAUUUAAAGAGACAGGCAAUUGAAGACUUUUCAUUAUUAAGCUUACAAUUUGAUUAUGUGGCCUUAUUAAUUACACAAAUGUGUCACUGAGGUGAAGUCUAACAGCCAACACUGAUAAAGUAUUGAUAAUGUUCAUUCUGACACUUGGUGAAGUGGGAGGGUCGGAGGGUUUCUUUCUGCUGGACUGGCCGGUCUCACGACUUUGUUUCCAGUGGCUGGUGCUCUUUGAGCCUGGGAGUGCACAUUUCCACUGAAAUGAUUCCCAAAAGCUGGUGAACGCAUUUAUUUUAUCCUGGAUAGUAAAGUGGUAGAUUUAAAAUAAAUACAUUUGUCUCUGUUCCAUUGAGUCUACAGCACAGGGCCAGGCCAGUCGGCUCAAUUAGUCUAUGUCAGUAUUUAUUCUCCACAUGAACCUCCACCCACGCCUCUUCAUCUACCCCCAUCAGCAUAUCCUUCUAUUCCUUUCUCCCUCAUGUAUGUAUCUAGCUUCCCCUUAAAUGUAUUCAUGCUGUUCACCUCAACCACUCGCUGUGGUAGUGAGAUCCACAUUCUCAUCACUCGCUGGGUAGAGGUUUCUCAUGAAAUUCCGAUUGGAUUUUGAACCCCUUCAUAUUUUUAAAGACUUCCAUCAGGUCACCCUUCAGUCUUCCCUUUUCUAGAGAAAAGCAGCCCCAGCCUUUCCUGAGGUUUAAACGUUCUCAGUUCUGGUGUUAUUCCAGUGAAUCUUUGUUGUCCCUUCUCCAGUGCCUCUAUUUCCUUUUUCUAAAUGGAGACAGUACUCCCAGUGUAGUCUAACCAUGGUUCAAAACAAGUUGAACAUAACCUCCUUGCUUUUCACUUCUAUCCCACUAGAAUAGAACCCUAUAUCUGGGCCCCACACUUUAGGAAAGAUGUGAAGUUCUUAGAGAGGGAGCAGAGGAGAUUUACGAGAAUGGCACCAGGGAUGGAGAGGCUGGAACAACUGAAAUUUCUGUCUUUGGAACAUGAGUCAUUAGGACACACAAGGAGGCCAUUCAGCCCAUCAAGUUCAUAUUUCCCUCAAGUGCCCAUCCAAUUGCCUUUUGUUCAUCAUUUCUGCUUCCACCCUCAUCGGUAGUGAUUUCCAGGUCAUUACCACUCGCUUUGUAAAAAUAUUCCUCCUCACAUCCCCCUUGCAUCUCCUGACCAAAACCUUAAAUCUGUGUCCCUCUCAUCUCUGUACCAUCAGCUGAUGGGAACAGCUUUUCUUUGUCCUCCUUAUCUAAACCUGUCAUAGUAUUGUGCACCUCUAUCAAAUCUCCCCUCAACCUCCUUUGCUCCAAGGAGAACAACCUCAGCCUGAUGUCUACAAUAAAGAGCAAACAAAAGAUGUUAAUGCCUGAAAUCAAUUGGGAAUGUUUGAUUUCUGUUUUAAAGAUAUGAUGAAUAUAUUGUAUUGGACAGUAAAGGAAUUGGAGUAACUCACUCGGGUGAUCAGUGGAAUGUAUCAAUCUGGUAUCCACCUACAUUGUAUCGAAAGUCAGGGAGGUGUAGAUGAGAUGAAUAAGUUGAUAGAUUUCUCCGGGAGAUAUAUACAUCCUUACCUAUGAAUUUUGUUUUAAAGAAAACCACAUUUGACAGCCUGGCCACCACCUGAAAUAUCAGGACCGUAACAGGGGGAGAUAAGCAAAGACAGACACUCACUUUGAUCUUUUGAUAAGCGCACCUGAAAGUUCAGAAUGUGUGGCCUGACAUUGGGAUAUUGGUGUGAGUGUGCAGAUGUGAUUUGUUACUUGUGAAGACAAUAGCACACGUAAAUUCAUGGUGAAGUGGACUGAAGACUGGAUCCCAAACAUGUGCAGCUACUGAACAAACAGCAUGACAUGAAAUGGUUAAUGUGACCAAGAGAAUGAGACACAACAUUCUGACAUUAUCAAGGUGCAAAAGGGACCAAACUUCAGCAGAAAUCUGGCAGAUCUGAGAACAGACGACUUGCUAUGUGGGAACAGGGAGACAAACAGCUCCCAGGGGACAGAGAAAACAAGAGUGCCCUGAAUCCUAGACGACACCUGGGUGUCAAGGCCACCAUGUUUUCACUGCUUGGCAUGGGAAUGCUGACACCCUGUACUGGGGACGGAGCGUGGGAAGCCAAUUGUUUGCGAGUUUGACGUGGCUUGGGCAGGUACAGAUGGUUCAAUGACACGUUUUGUAAUUGGUCCGUUCAAAUGUUAGCUCGGCAAUGAUUGGGUUAAAUCAGUCUCCAUAGGCUUUGUGAUGUAAAAAAGUAUCAGAGGGGAUUCCCCGAGCACAGAGAUUUGUAGAGGUUUUACAUAUUGCAUUGACUAUUGCCAUGGCAUCUGGGGCAGACCAGGGAGCACUUAUGUGGAGAUGGUGCUUCUACCCAGAGUGUAAUGGUAAUGCUGCUGCACUUUGAUGCUACUGCUCAGACAUGAGCAUGUUUCAGGUCUUAUUUAUACUGAAUAAAAUCUAACC